AGGAAGGAGGGAGGUCCAGGCCCUUCUUCCAUCCCACGUCCUCCACUUCCCAAGGUGCAAGAAGAAAAGAGGUACAGAACACCCAGAGGUGCCCUCGAUUCCGUCUUGCACUUGCCCUUCUCCCACCGUCCAGCAAUAAAGCGAGAGAAACAAGUGCAGGAAACUGGCCGGCAGUCAUGGGAGAAGCCAAAAAGACAGGUGAGCAGCGCGUCCGCCUCCCGCGCACAGGAGUUCAGUGGCAUGACCAGGGCUCACUGCAACCUUGAUCUGGGCUCAAGUGAUCCUCCUACCUCAGCUUCCUGAGUAGCUAGGACCACAGGUGUGCACCAACCACACCCGACUAAUUUUUGUAGAGAUGAGAUCCCACUAUGUUACCCAGGCUGGUCUUGAACUCCUGGGCUCAGGUGAUCAUCCUGCCUUGGCUUCCCAAAGUACUGGGAUUAUAGGCUUGAGCCACCGUGCCUGGCCUGUGAUCAGAAUUCUCAUUUUUUUAGUCACUAAAAAUGCUGGGGGGCACUCCAUUCUCCAUUAUGUGAUUAGUUCACAUUGCAUGCUUGUAUCAAAACAUCAUAUAUACCCCACAAAUAUAUACAAAAAACUUUAAAAUUUUAAGUAUUAAUUGCUCAGGAAAAAAUUAAAAUGCUGGGGUGCUGAAAUCUCAAGGGCCCCAUUACAAAACUCCUUAGGAACCUCGCCCUCUCUCUGCUGUAAGGACUGGUUCCAGAAUGAGAGAAUUUAAAAGACAUUCCCCCCCCAAAAUGUUCAUAAUGUCACCCCGGAAACCUGCGAAUAUGUUAUAUUACAUGACCAGGGAGAAGUAAGGUUGCAGAUGGCAGUAAGGUUGCUAAUGGGCUGACCUUAAGAUAAGGAGAUGAUCCUGGAUUAUCUGGGUGGACCCAAUGUAAUCACAAGGGUCCUUAACUGUGGAAUAGUGAGGUGGCUGAGUCAGAGGCAGAGUGAUGCAAUGACUGAAAGACUUAACCAGCCAUCACCGGCUUUGAAUACGGAAGACGGUCAUGAGCCAGGGAAUGCAGGCAGGCUCUGGGAGCUGAAAAAAGCAAGAAAAUGGAUUCUCCCCUGGAGCCUCCAGAAGGGAUGCGGUCCUGCCAACCCCUUGUCAGUGAGCCAUUUCAGAUUUCUGACUUCCAGGACUGUAAGAAAAUAAACUUGUCUUGUUUUCAGCCACCAAGU
rnacentral:lncRNA from 10 species